rnacentral:misc_RNA from 1 species
GCUGCAUUGCAGCUAUUACAAGGGACAUGACCAAUUUUACAAUGGCAAAUUGAGUGGCCAAAAGACUUCUUAAUGUUCUUAAAUAUCCUCAUCUUUUCUGAACCAUUAACUAUUUUUCAUUAUUGCCUUUCUAUGAGUAUCCCCUUCAGGUCUUGCACAUGUUUUUCCUGGCUUCAUUUUAUGGAACAACCUUUUUGGUUACCUUGCAAAGGUUUUUUGGGUUGAUCCAUGCUUGUUUUAUCCCUUUCAACUAAAGGGCAUUUUAUUUUCUUCCCUUGGUUGUUUUCUGCAUCCACCUUUCAUAUAUUUUUAACUUCUUUGGUUUUUCUAGGUGGGUCUAAAUUCUGCUUUCUUCCCUCUUUUGCUCUUUUGGGUUAUCUUACAUGAUCAAAAAUUGAUCAGUACGUCUCUCUCUCUCUCGUGGAAUUUGUCCAAAACCUCUGAUUCUCUUGCUCUUCCUGCCACUUUCUUCUGUUAUGCAUAAAAAUCCUCUGGCUAGCAGUUCUUUUAUUGGCAAAAUGUGGCAAUUUUCAGCUGAUGAUUUAUGUAAUAACAAGGAUUUAGUUGUUAGACGCUGUGAAGGGCUGUGUCAAAUAUAGUUCUCACUUUCACUCUAACCUCUGGGUCUUCCGUUGAACCAUGUACUCAAUCUAUAUAUCUGGAUAAAUAUCUAUUUUGAAUUGAUUAAAUAAAUUAUUAUGCUGCUUUGAAU